GGGCGGUGGUGAUGGUAGUGUGAUCAUAUAGUGUCACUUAUUAUCUGUAUCAUUAAUUUAGAAUCUCAUGAGAUUUCUUUCUUAAUUGGAUUUGUGAAGAAGGUGCUUGUAAGGACACUUUUUUGUUAUAAAAUAAAGAAAAAAAUUUAAGAAAUCCUCCUAUGGAAAGCUCUAUAAAUCCUCCAACAUCACUUCAUCCCAUGUCUCUACCCCUGGGGGUGGUGACUUAGUUUUCUUUGUGAAAGAGAUAGGUUUCACCUAUUGCUUGAAAGGUGCAGAAGAGGUUUAGAAGAAGAAAAGGUACCUUAUCUUGCAAUAUUACUGCAGAGGUGUAAGAUCAAGUUCUAUUGAAAUGAUUCCCACACCUUUCUCUCUCUUUCUCUCUUUAUUUUCUAUCUCUGUUUAUAUCUCUGAGUGACUGUCUUGUUUUAUUGUUUAGGUUCAUGGGUUCUCAUGGAUGACCAGGUCUUCUCAGGUUACAGCUUUAUUGUUAACCAAAACAAAGACUGAUAUGUCCAGUCAUUUGCCCAGGAAUUUUCAAAGAUGCUUCUGUGAGAAAGUGACAAGUGUGAAACCCAUCAACAGCACCACCUCACCAUUUUCAAGCUUCUCUCAAUUUGAUUUUGAUUCUUUUCCUGUACGUCCAAAGCGAAACAGCUAAAAAGGGCUUCUCCUGAGCAUCAAGGCUACAGGAAAUACUAUUCCCAAAUUGUCCUUCCUUUACUUCAAAAUGACAAAUUUUUACUUGUAAAUCUUAGACCCCAAAAAACAAAAAAGGGAGAAAAAAAUGGAAUAUGUUUCUUCUUGUAAUGUAAUGCUAAUGGGAUAUGUUCUUUGAUUCUUUCUUUUCA